UGCAGAUAAUAUAACACAAGCGCUCAUGUUCCUCUCGCACUUCAUCAGAGACAUACACUAGCCACUUCACUCCGACAAAGGAGGGAACACCGUCGACUUCCACUGGAACCUGGAUGCUAGGGCAUGCUCUGUUUUGUUCACUAAUUGCCCGGUUUGGAACGCCAGCAUCAUCUAGC